AUUUAGCAUAUUGUUGGUACCAUUAUUCAUUUUUACCACCACUAAAAUAAUAUUUUUAAAAAUACCUUCUUCGUUAAGAGUUAAAUUUUUUUUAUACACUUGUUCUCUAUAGUAUAUAAUAAACAAUUAUUUUUUUAUGUUUUCAAAUUAUAUUUUUUAAAAUUCGAAUUUUUUUUUACAAAAAAAAAGUUUUCAAAUUUUCUUUUUGACAUUCGAAAAUUAUUUUUGAAACUAUUUUUUAAUAAAAUAAAAAAAAUUUAUUUAUAUAUUUAUUAAAAUUCUAAAUUCUACAUUACAAAAAUCCUAUCCACCCCCU
rnacentral:lncRNA from 1 species